rnacentral:rRNA from 1 species
UACGUAGGUGGCAAGCGUUGUCCGGAAUUAUUGGGCGUAAAGCGCGCGCAGGCGGUCCUUUAAGUCUGAUGUGAAAGCCCACGGCUCAACCGUGGAGGGUCAUUGGAAACUGGGGGACUUGAGUGCAGAAGAGGAGAGUGGAAUUCCACGUGUAGCGGUGAAAUGCGUAGAGAUGUGGAGGAACACCAGUGGCGAAGGCGACUCUCUGGUCUGUAACUGACGCUGAGGCGCGAAAGAGUGGGUAGCGAACAGG